AGAGGGCGAUGGAGCAUCAAAAUGGAGUUUGACCAGGGAGACUUCAAGAAGAGGACCUGAGGCCUUCAUCAACAUUUCUGAUUAAAUCACAACAUAUGCGGAGAAAGGAGCAAUUGGCCAUCGUUGCGUUCCGUCACACAAAGAGGCAGGGCUGUCACAAGAAAGCCGUCCUUUUAGGGACAUAAUCGAGGCGGGCAGGACGGCAUGUGUGGGCGUGAUAGGCCGAUUGUGUCAGCGAAAGUAAGAUUGACAGGAGUGACAGCUCCAUUUAUUGGCUGCUGAAGUCUAGUCAGCAAAAGGGCAUUCAGGGCCACCGGCUGGCUCUGCUGGCGGCCUGUGCAGUCGGCGCCUGUAAUGCGUGAAGCCCUGGAGUCAUGAUAAACAGCAUCUCUCGUACCUC